rnacentral:sRNA from 1 species
AGUGACAGUAUAUAAGUGAGUAACGCAUAUUCAGUAAGUAAAAGUAAAUUGAAAUUAGGGUUUCGAAAAUAUUCUUCUAAAAUUAAUUUUGUAAAAUGUUGCAUUUAUUUAAUAUUUUGAAUGGUUGGCAACCGUCCAGAUAUCGUUUUGGGCCUUCUGGAGCAAUACGCUUUUUAUCUAAAAAUGAAAAAAAUAACGAAAAAGAAAAAAACAACAAAUCAAGUUAUAAAGAUGAGACAAGUAUUGCCGGUGGAACCAAAUGCAAGCCAAAAACUGCAAUUUGCUCUGAGCCCAACAAAAAAAAAAAGAAGAGAGAAAGUUGUGAGGAUUUAAUUCUGAAGCGAGAUGGUAAAACUUCAUCCAGAAAAAAAAAGACUGCACUGACUUCAAUUCAAGGAGGUGGAUUAAACUGUCGUACCAAAACCCAUAAUAAACGUUAGUAUUUCCUUUU